GACGAACGCUGGCGGCGUGCUUAACACAUGCAAGUCGAACGGAGUGGCGAACGGGGGAGUAACACGUGGGUGAUCUGCCUUGCACUUCGGGAUAAGCGUGGGAAACUGGGUCUAAUACCGGAUAGUGCAAGAUGAGCUCGCGGCCUAUCAGCUUGUUGGUGGGGGAAUGGCCUACCAAGGCGUCGAAGGGUAGCCGGCCUGAGAGGGUUUACGGCAACAAUGGGCCUGAGAGACGGCCCAGUAUCCUACGGGCGGCAGUAGUGGGGAAUAUUGCACAAUGGGCGGAAGCCUGAUGCAGCGACGCCGGGUGGGGGAUGAAGGCCUUCUGGUUGUAAACUCCUUUCGUCAGGGACGCGGUACCUGUAUAAGAAGCACCGGCUAACUACGUGCCAGCAGCCGCGGUAAUAC
rnacentral:rRNA from 1 species